GCAUCUUUUUCGGAUUUCUCUGGCAGUCGAAUUUUCGACCUGGUGCGAUGCUAUGAUAACGCCCCUCCGGACUUCUCCAACGACGAACUUCUUCAGUCGUCCACCAGACUGCUUCAAAUGCUCUCCAGGCUUCGCUAUCUACCGACCUUCUACAAUGAUCAACCAUUCUCCGGAUCUCUCCUGGACCUCUUCCAGAUCUCUUCUAGCCAUGAUAGAUUCUAAUCCGAACUCCUCCG
rnacentral:lncRNA from 1 species